GAUGAACGCUGGCGGCGUGCCUAAUACAUGCAAGUCGAGCGAACAGACGAGGAGCUUGCUCCUCUGACGUUAGCGGCGGACGGGUGAGUAACACGUGGAUAACCUACCUAUAAGACUGGGAUAACUUCGGGAAACCGGAGCUAAUACCGGAUAACAUGUUGAACCGCAUGGUUCAACAGUGAAAGACGGUCUUGCUGUCACUUAUAGAUGGAUCCGCGCCGCAUUAGCUAGUUGGUAAGGUAACGGCUUACCAAGGCAACGAUGCGUAGCCGACCUGAGAGGGUGAUCGGCCACACUGGAACUGAGACACGGUCCAGACUCCUACGGGAGGCAGCAGUAGGGAAUCUGCCGCAAUGGGCGAAAGCAUGACGGAGCAACGCCGCGUGAGUGAUGAAGGUCUUCGGAUCGUAAAACUCUGUUAUUAGGGGAGAACAAAUGUGUAAGUAACUAUGCACGUCUUGACGGUACCUAAUCAGAAAGCCACGGCUAACUACGUG
rnacentral:rRNA from 1 species